UUAGGGUUAGGGAAAUGAAACACAGUGCACAAAGUCAGGAAGAGUUUAAACCUGACCAUCUUUCUUUUAUUCAAGUUGAGGGCCAAGAAAGUCCUUGCAUUGCCAUUAACCUGAAGACAGAGAAAGAUAAAGCUUUGCUGGAGGAAUGAUAGGUGAACUUGCUGCACCUAUUGAAUUUCUAGCUGGACAAUUACUAUAGUAGCGGUAGCAUUUGAGGGAAGUGCUGUGCCUUACAGAAAUGCAUCAGGAAGAAAUUCACUAGGGACACCUUUAGCAAAUGACUGGGGAAGCUGCACCUGUUGCAUUCCUGGCUGGACACAUCCCUCCCAAGAACAAUGUCAAGCUGAAAGACCAAGGACAGAUAUCAGAAGGUAUUGGAACAUCCUGUCCUUCAUGUUUGCCAUUCAGGAGAUCAAUCGGAAUCCCAGGCUCCUACCCAACAUCACACUGGGCUAUAGCAUCUAUGAGAACUAUUAUGAUGCAAUAAUGACUUCUGACACUGUGGUGGACCUGUUGUCUACUGGGAAGGUGAAUGUUCCAAACUACAGUUGUGGAAGAAGGAGUGAUCUGGUGGCUGUUCUUGAAGGGUCUGACUCUGAUAUCUCCAUCCAGAUUUCAACCAUGUUGGGCAUCUACAAAAUUCCACAGGUAUGAAGGGCUGGACAGAGGCUAAGUAUAAACUAAGCGUUAAUAGCACAGAAACUUCAUAUCUUCAGAUCUAUCGACGGACAUAUUAUCAUCUGUGAUGGGAAUGUGAAAAAGUGCAGUAAAGCUUAUUAUUUA